rnacentral:lncRNA from 1 species
UUUUUUUCUUUUUUCUUUCUUUCUGACCAGCAAAUCAUAGCCUCUGGUUUAAAAUAAUCAGUCUUGGUGAAAUUCCAGAGUUAAGAGUGUCAACAUCUUUUACAAUGCAGCUUAUUUCAAAAGCAGGUGUCUGAAGACACCCUGAUUUAAAUACAUAAAAGAAAUACAGUGCAAAAAAAGUGUGUUUCUACAUAUAAUAUUCCUUUUUUUGUGAGCUAGCUUUCUGUCCUGGUUUAAAAUUUUGAGCAUAAAUCUUUUCAUAUGAAAAAGAAUAACUAUUGUUGUACUGUGGUUUGAUGAUUCCACAUACUAAAUUAACUUGGAAAUAUUGGUACAUGAUGUAAGUCCUCUUAGAAAUUCAGAAUGUUUUAUUCAAAGAAGUUUAAAUGCAGAAUGGUUUAUUUUGCUCUGGAAAUUUUACAAAGGUGUUUUGCCAAAAGCAUUAAAUAUUUGAUUCUACUUGUUAAGAUUUGCAGGAACUGCUUUAAAUUUAUUACAAAAAAUAAUAGCAACAGCAACACAUUUUCCCCUUUCAUUAAGGUAGUGAAAAAAAAAAAGAACUUUAAGAGCUUUUCCAUAAAAAUGCUCUAAAAUAUUCCAUUAAAAUUAAAAGGCAACUGCCACUUCACACGUGGUCAGACUUAACUAUUCAAAGUUAUUUUAAGUCUGUCAGUCCCUGAAGACCAAACUACCUGAGAGUCCAGCUGUGUUCAAAGACCUCUAGAACUCAGUCUCCAGAGAUGGAUAGGGCUGAUACAAAGGGUUAUUAGAUUACAGAAGGGAAGAAUAAUCCAGAGUGCAAUAUUUAAUAUCCUAUUCUCUCUAAAUCCUCACUUGAUUAUAGGUUUCUUAUUGAUAACAGUCAUUCUGCAAUGAUUAGGGAGAUUCCAUAAUAGAACAUGGAGCUUGGAACAAAUGCCCAAUUCCCAUACUGACAGCACGUGACCUCAUGUUAGCAGCAGUGAACUGAGAAUGUUAAUAGCAAGUGAUCUUCCAGGGUUGUGGGAAAUAGUAACAUUUUGGUCAAAAUCUUAUGUUCUCAUGAUUAUAAAAAAGUAUUUUUAAAAGGAUACAUUAUAUGCAUAUUUGUCAUUAAAUAUUAUACUCCUUCUGGUAUGGUUCUCUUUGCUUAGUUUUGUUUUAUAGUAACACUUCUGCAUUGUAAAUAUAGUUCUAAUAUUAGUUGCCACAGAGAUAUGCAGUUUCAUGCAUGAAUAACUUAUUAAUAUAUUUCUUAGGGUGGUCCAUUAUACACAUGCUUAAUUAGCCCUAGAAUCAGACUGUUAAAUUCUUGUUUAAGUGUCCCAAAUAUCAAGAAAUGAGUACACUAUAUUUUUUAGGAAUUUAUUAUUGACUUUUGUAUUUAAACCUUAAAAAUCCUUAUUAAGGUCUCCCAGAAGCCCAACAAACUCUGAUAUAACUUACUUUUACUUUAGUACCAGGUGCUGAUAUCUUUGGAAUUUUACUUUUGGUAUAAAAGAGAGUUAUCCGGGAAAAAAAAAAAAAAAAGUGAACCAAUGACUAUAAGAUUUUUUCAAAUAAUGGACACAAAAGAUACUGUAACUAAAUUAAAAGGCCAAAGACUUGCCAAAAAGUCUAUUUCUGAACCAGUGUUACAGGAUACAGGGGUGGGAGUGUUUUUGUUUGGUUUGCUAGUUUGUUUAGAGUUAAGUGAAAAGUACAGGGUUUGAAGUCACACAUAUACAGGGUACCAUUCUGACUUUUCCAUUGCCUGACCAUUGAGGAAAUCAUUCAACUUGAAGUGACUUCAAUUUCAUCAGAUUUCCUUUCAGAUUUAAAAAAUGAGAAAACAAAGAUGAUAAACAAUAUUUCAAUGAUCUGAUUUAUACAAGUAUGGCAUAAAUACUGAAAAAAGAUAGAACAAUAGUAACUUUCAGGUUAGGCCAUUGCCUUCCUCAAAAUAUCCCUAUUAAGAACUUCUCAGCCUCUGCUUUAGAAUAUCAUUGUUAAGUAGGGCUACCAUGUCAUUUCAGGUGAAGGAUUUCAACUUUGCACAUACACUCACUACUUGCUGGCAGGCCACGGGCUUUUCUUCCACCUGAAUCAAGGAAAGGGCAAUUUCUAGUCUACUCACCUAUGCAUUUAUGGUGAGCUCAACUCUAUUUGUUGGAAAGCUGCCAUUCAUUUAGGAGAGCCUGAGGGAUAUUGGGUGGCUGUUAUCUUUCUCUUGCUCUCUCCCACUGCACCAAAUGCUCUGGCAAGGUCACUGCACCUGGACACUGCAUUCCCUAAAGAGCACUUUAUUACUAAAAUUGUGUAAAACUUAGACAAAGUUCAGAGAAGAGCUGAAAUAUUUAGUAUUUAAAUAUUUUAAAUACUAAAAUAUUUAAGUGACGAAGGGGACCCAUUUUAAAGAACUCAGAAAUGUUUGGUUAAGCGGUAAUUGCGCUAAAAAAGGUGUGGUGGCUCUGGCAUUAAGUUUGAAUUCCAAACCACACUUGGCAAAAAGACUUCCUUUCAGGCCUCUAAAUUCAGAAAUGCUCUGAAGAAGGGGCAGAAUCUCCCUCUUGCUUGGCUCUCCAACCACUGCACACAUUCCUUGGGUGGUAUUCCCAUGCAAGUGUAGUGACCUCUACAAACAAGCACAGAAGGAAACACUACCAAAGCAGAGAGCUCAUUAAAGAAGUCUGAAAGAUGCUUAAAGGGUUCUUUUAGGGAAUCAUGAAGAACAAGCCUGGGUUGUGAAGGGCCAGUCCUUCCAUCCCUGUUAAGCACCUACUCACGCCCCACUGCCAAUCUCUGCUUAAUGGGUGGUACCAUUAAAUAAGAGCUGCUGACCCAGUCCAACUGUGCAAGUCUGCCUAUAUGUACUGCUUAGAAUAUUGAUUCCUUUAAGAAUGACAGUUCCAGGUAAAUCUAACAUGAUCUGGAAAUAAGGGCUUGCUCACAUUUUUCUGCAUGCUCUGGCUAGAAGCCCUCAUCCACAAAGCACAGUACCAACUUUUGAAGGUCACUGGAAUCUAAUGUUCACAGACCAUGGGAUGGGUGAUGCAACAACGUGAGUCAGUGUUGUUAAGGAACUGCAGAGGCCAGAAGAGCUAUAUCGUUUCAAUCAAAUAGAUGUUAUGGGCUGGGGGAUUAAGAUGGUGGAAUAGAAGGACUGAAGCUUAACUUCUCUCCUAAAAACAACAAAAUUUACAACCAAAGGCUGCGCAAUCUUCACUCAAAUGGACCGGAAACCUUAAAAAAGAUAUCCUACUCCAGGAGAUAGGGAGGAGGCCACAUCAAGAGGUAAGAGGGGUGAUUAUGUGAUAUAAGCAACCCCAUACCUCCCGGAUGGGAAGUCCCACAGACUGGAAAGUAACUGGUUCACAGAGACUCACCUACAGGAGUGAGAGUUUUGAGCCCCAUAUCAAACCCUCAUGUGUGGGGAUCUGCAACUGGGAGAAAGAGCCCCCAGAGCAUCUGGCAUUGAAGGCCAGUGUGGCUUGUGUGCAAGAGCUCCACAGCAGUGGCGGAAAUGGGGACCCCAUUCUUAAAAGGCACACACACUUUCACGUGCACUGGGUCCCAGGGGGAAGCAAAGUUUCCAAAGGAAUCUGGAUCAGACCUGACUGCAAUUCUUGGAGGACCUCCUGGAAAAACAGGGGUGAAUGGGUCUUGUUGUGGGGGAAGGACGUUGUAAGCAAAGCUCUCGGGAAUAUUCCUCAAUGUGCCUUUCUCUGGAGGUGGCCAUUUUGGGAAAAUCUGGCUCCACCCAUUAUUGCUGAGAAGCCCCCAGCCAAACAACAAUCCAGGUGGUAUCACAGCCCUGCCCAUCAGUAAACAGGCUGCCUAAAGACCACACAGGCACACAGACGCCUCUAAUCUCACCCAGAGACAAAGCCCCACCCACCAGAGGGAUAGGAAUCAGCUCCACCUAACACUGGGCAGGCAUCAAUCCCUCCCAUCAGGAAGCCUACAGCAAGCCCCCAUACAAACUUCAGCCACAAGGGGGGCAGAUGCCAGAGGUAAGAGAUGCUACAACUCUAUCGUCUGCAGAAAGUUCACAACGCCAAAAACCUAUAAAAAUGAAAAGACAGAGAACUAUAACUAAGAGGAGAGAAAAAGAAAAAAACUCAGAAAAACAGCUAAGUGAUCAGGAGAUUCUCAGCCUCCAGGAAAAAGACUUUAGACUGUUGAUGCUGAAGAUGAUGCAAGACAUUUGAAAUAAACUGGAGGCAAAGACGAAUAAUUUACAGGAAACACUGAGCAAAGAGACACAAGAUAUAAAACUUAAACAAGAAGAGAUGCAAAAUACAGUAACUUAAAUAAAAAUUCAUCAGAAGCAGCCAACAGCAGAAUAUAGGAGGCAGAAGAACAAAUAAGCAAGGUGGAGGACAUACUAGUGGAAAUCACCAAUGCAGAACAGAAAAGAGAAAAAAGAUUGAAAAACAAUGAAGAGAGUCUCAGAGAACUCUGGGACCAUGUUAAACGCACCAACAUCCAUGUUAUAUGGGUGCCAGAAGGACAAGAGAGAAAGAAAGGGACAGAAAAAAUAUUCAAAGAGAUAACAGCCAAAAACUUCCCUAACAUGGGAAAGGAACUACUCACUCAAAUCCAGGAAGCCCAACAAGUACUAUAUAAAAUAAACCCAAGGAGGCACACCCCAAGACACAUUACUCAAAUUGACCAAAAUUAAAGGCAAUGAGAAAAUAUUGAAAGCCGCUAGGAAAGGAGUUCCAUCGUGGUGCAGUGGUUAACGAAUCUGACUAGGAACCAUGAGGUUGCAGGUUCGAUACCUGACCUUGCUCAGUGGGUUAAGGAUCCAGUGUUGCUGUGGCUCUGGUGUCGGCCAGCGGCUAAAGCUCCAACUGGACCCGUAGCCUGGGAAACUCCAUAUGCUGUGGAAGUGGCCCUAAAAAAG